UUCAUAGGGAACCCUAUCGUGAACGUUGUCCCAUACCGGACGGGGUAUGGAGACUUGGUAAUUUGGCGUUCAUAACGGACGAGGUAUAGGGACGGCCUGCUUCACCCUCAUACUAGAUUGGGUAUUGAGGCUUAAUAUCUUGGCGCUCAUACCAGACGGGGUAUGGGAAUGGCUCUGUAAUUAAGAUUGUUAAAGAAAAGGGUUCACGUGUAGCGGGGACACCCCUAUGGAUCCCCAUAGAUACUAGUAGGCUGGUGAAACGAGAAACGGUUAUGAAUUCGUCUAUUGUUAAUGGAUAUGAAUUUAUAAUAUGUACCGUGAUAGUUGAUUAUGCAUGAAAUUAUUAUCUG
rnacentral:lncRNA from 1 species